rnacentral:lncRNA from 1 species
ACUAUUCAAGUAACAAAGAUGUCAUAUAAAGGGAAGGAAAAAAAUUACAAUAUACCAAAAAAUAACUAAGCAUCAAGGUUAUUCCAACUAAGAGUGAAUCAACGGGUGUCAAAUCAUUUAUCAAGAGUCAAAACAAUUCACACCUAGCUACGCCAUGCUAAUUGAUCUGAAUCAGUCCAUAACCAUAUCAAGGAACACCCGCUAUCAAAGUAACAGUACAUAGCCACAGAGAUGGGAAAAUUCACAACAUACCAACAGGAUAAAUCUACUAAUUUAAUCAAGUGAAUAACUCAAUCAAAUAAGUCACAUUUUCGGAAUCAAAGCUAUAACUGCAUGCUUAAAAAUCCACAAAAAUCAUGCAUUUUCACGGAUGUUGGUCUACAAACAUGAACGCAUGAAAUUAAAAUAAAUCAAAAUUCAUGAUCAAGUUUCAUAUCGCAAAAUCCAUCAAAGAAAUUAAGAAAGAGUAGAAGGGGUCUUUAGGUGAAACUCUAACAUAAAACAAACUUGAGACGAAUUCACACAAGUGAAUUCGUCGUAUUUGAGAAAUUCUGGAAAUGUUUGCCUGAAAUAGCGAUGGUGACAGACUGGUUGCCUAGAGCAGCAGCGAAUUUUGGCGGAGAAAAGAGGAGAGACGGCAGACAAGUGACUGGCGAAGAUGGCGUUUUUUGACUACCGGCUAUGUUGUUGUUGUCCGCCAGUGGAGAUUUCGGCAUCGGGCGGCUAAUGUUUUGAAGCUGACUGGUGGACGAAUGUCUUGGGAUUGUUCGACGGAGGCUGACCCACCGGUGGUGGUCAGCGCCGGCGUGAGGGUGAUUUUGCUGGUGGCGUGGGCGGUUGUUGUCGAUUUUCUGGGUAAGUGUGUCCGGAGAUGGGAGGCGGCAGCGUUGUUGUUUUAGAGAAAGGUGAGGGAGAUAGAGAGAGAAAGAAGAGAGAGGGAAGAGAAGUAAGUGGCGACUGUUAUGUGGAGA